CAAUAUUUUACGAAUCAUUUCACCUCAAAUGUUUUUGGGACAUUGAAAAGGGAUAGAAAAAGGUUAUGUCGUCAAUCGUUCUUGGUUUAGGUUAUCUCGAACUUUAAACCAACUUUGUCAAAGUAAAGAUAACUCCAGAAUGUGGAAGUUACACUAGUUAGUUGUCUUCUGCUAAUUCGUACAAAUGUGUAACUAAGACUCUGUUUUAAAUUUCACAAAUACAGAAAACAAAAACUAUAGAAUGUUUAAAUUCCUUUGAAAAUAUGACAUAUACUCAAUUAUUGGACUGUGCUAGUUGCAUUAUGUCUUGUAGCAAGAAAGUGAUAUUAGAAUGAGAGGAGCCUCCUUCUUCCACAGCCUUGUGAGCUGAUUCUCCAAGCUCUUUGGCUCUUCUUCUUCUCUCUUUUGCAUCAUCACUCUCACCCAUUAGUUCUUCCACUGCCUUCUUCACUCCUUCUUUAUCCACCAACACUCCUAUCUUCUCUUCUUCUCCCCAUUUCAUGACCUCUUUAACCUCGGCACUUACACCGACUUUUAGUAUUUGUACGACCAGUUUCUCGUUGCAGAAUUGGUCUGCAAAUAGUGGCCAUGUAAGCAUUGGUAGACCAGCAGUUAUCCCCUCAAGAGUCGAGUUCCAUCCGCAGUGCGUUAAGAACCCUCCAACAGAAGGAUGUGAAAGGAUAAGCAUUUGAGGGGACCAUCCUUUGAUGAGAAGUCCUCUAUCUUGGAUUCUAUCUUCAAAGCCGCUUUCCGAGAACCACUCAACUAACUCUUUGUAUUUCUCCCAACCUCUUAUGACCCAGAUGAAAGGUCUUUGGGAUUCCUCUAGGCCUAGUCCCAGCUCAAGGAGCUGAGACAGAGGAAGAUUACAAAUACUUCCAAGGCAAACGUAGAGCACAGAUCCCGGUUCCUUAGAAUCGAGCCAUUCAAGGCACUCAUCUUGAUCAAUAUCUGAUUUGUUUCCCCUCUCUGCUUUGUCUACUCCUACCUUGUUGCACAAGGAAACAGGUCCAAUGGUCCAUGCUUUACCAGACCUUGCCUCCUUGAAGUCUUUGGCAUACGCAGGUUCGAGCUCUUGAAAUGAGUUGACUAUAACACCAUAAGAUGUCUUAUCCGCUUCUACCAUAUCCUCCAAGAUCUCUUUCCAGCCUGCAGGAACAUAUGUUUCCACCGGAACUUGAGGUCUUGUGAAUUCAACUCUAUCAGGAAAAUAAGGAACAAUGAAGUACUCCUUAUCAGACUUUAAAUUGUCCAAGAUCUCACGGUUCUUGCGCAGAACGUUAACACACAGAAGACAAAAGCAACCCAUGCCAUGGAAGAGGAUCUUUGGUAUUUUGAACUUCUUGGCGAUUUCGCUUGUAUACGACAAACACAUAUCAGAGAUUAGACAGCUUGGUCGCGGGCUCAUCUCUUCAAUAAGGUUCUGGACUGGUUCUUUGAACCAGCUUCUUGAUAUGGAAACUUGACUUGCACUAGGUUGAUGGGCAAACCAGACUCAAUGGCACGGUUUAGGACAUUCUUGAACCUUGCUGCAUUGUGAGGCGUCGUGACAAUUGUUAUAAGCACACCUCGCUGAGCCAAGAGCCUUGCAAUAUCAACCAUGGGAAUCAUGUGGCCUUGAGCCAUGAAAGGGAAGAGAACAAAGUGAAGAGGAAAAGGUUCGUUGUUUUUUUCGAAAGCCAUGACGAUGCAACUUUAGUAAGAACCUCUCAAGUUUUGUUUCGUUUUCGGUUAAUAUCUGUGUAAGCUUAUAUAUAGAACAAGAUGCGUGGAGAGCAAGAAAGAAAGUGAACAGAAGACGUAAACAGAUUUUUACUUGCCAAACACCUCUUUUUAAGUCCACAGAUUGUGCUUGCGACAGACUUUAGUAAAUGCUUAAGUUUGUCCGUAUGUGACCAUCCUACAUCUUCUAGUGACCUUCCUUCUCAGAAACAUUUUAGAGACA